rnacentral:lncRNA from 1 species
AGAAUAUUGGUAGAGCAGACUCUUUCAAGAAUAUCCCUCUCCACUUUGACGUCCCUCCACAAUCCAUUUACAUCAGCGUUUACCAAUUCCUCUGACUGUAUUAAAGGAUGGUCUUUCGAGUUCCGGCAGGAACAGAUUAACCGUUGAAUCCAAGAAGACAAAGGCACUUUCCAUCUCUGAGAAAUGUAACUCAAUAUGGAAACAAGUUGCUGUGAGCGAAGUUGAUGAGGUAGUUGCUUUAUGGCAAAGACUUGCUUCCAGUACAAAUUAGGCCUGUUUUUAACUCCACAAAUAACACUGCUAGAAGAAGUAAUCAUUCUACAAUCAUACAGACCAAAAACAUAUAUAGUAAUAGGCAGAACAUUGCAAAGCAACCUACCAAAUGCAUUUUUUAUAUCUUUUUCUGGGUCCCCAAGUUUCUCAAGGACAGUCUCAGCAAUGUACAGGAAGUGAGAGGGAUGGACAAGUUUUGCUUGCAGAAGCAUGUCUAGAACCAAUUUGACAAGAGAUCUUACUCUUGGUUCUCUGUCUGAUGCAGAAUCCAAAAUGGAGAACAGCAAAUUCUGCAUGACCUCUACAUAUCCCCAGACUUCACAAGGAUAAUGUGUUGCCUCCACAUUCUCAUAUGCACAGAUUACAUUUUUACAGAAUUUAGUUAUCCAUUCUAAGGCUUCUAUUUUAACAGCUAAAGGAGCAGCAGUGUCAAGAGCUUUAACAAGGAGAUUGGAGUAAUUUCUCAAAUACUCCAAAACUAGUAUUGGAUGUUGAUUUUUAAUAUUAUCCUCCUUCAUUGGCUUUGAAAGUGCAGGUUCUCUUGUAGAGCAACUAGUCAGAAACUCAACGUCACUCAGCCUUUGCAAUGUCUGCAAUACUGCUAGUUGCAGUUCUACAUAGGCUUCAAUAGGUAAGCUAAAAGGAUCUAAUUUCUCCACCAAAAAGGAUAAUAAUCUCUUUGACCUAUUAAGAUACAACGUGUCAACUUCUGUAACAUUCAUAUAGCGACUUCCACCUGGAGAAACACACGUUAACAAGACUUUCAAAUCAAAAUGGAUUAAAGCAAACAAUUCUGAUCGUGAAUAAGAUUUUUGAGCUGUAAUUCCAUCUCCAAUGCACCCCUCACCGCAUGUCUCUUUGAGCACAAUAGUCUUCAACAAAUCCAGCUCCUCAAUCAAGGAAUUGAUUGUCCUUUCAACAACUUCUUCAUUAACAUGCUGCAGUAAGAAGAUAUAGGUAGCAGCAGCACUUCCAGUUACUAACUGAUUUGGAUGCAGACGCAAUUGAGAUAUAGGGGCAUCAAAUCCUAUUAUCUUUUCAGCAGAUGAUGGGAGAAGCCCAUGCUUUUGAAGCGACAGCAACUGUAAAUUAGUUUUAAGAACCCCAUGAACCUGAAAGGAAGUAAUAUUUACAGUCCUUGUGAGUUGGACUGUAUUCCGCAUGUCCAAGCUCUGAAACAAAAUAUCAACCGCAAUAGGGAAAAAUGUUGAAAACCUAUCGCCUAAAAUUUCUGCUAACAAAGUCAAGCACUUCCAAGAAUCCUGAAUCCAUUUUGACCAACCAUAUUUCCUUCCAAUCUGUGAUAAACAUCCUAAUAAAAGAGGAACCAUUUUGCAAAGAGGUUCAGUAAUCUGUCCCAGCAUAUUCAUUUCCAGCAAACCAGAUGCUACAGACUUCAAAACUGUAGAAAAGCAAGAUAGUAAAGCAAGUAAUCUUUGAAAUUGCUGUGGAGUACCAGGACUUCCAUCCUGAAGUAACACAUCCAUGUCUCCUAGAAACUUUGAUAGCAAUCCCAAGGAGAACUGCAUGUUAUUUACCCAGUGUUUCUGAAAUUGCAAGAAACUGUCCAUAAUCACACUCCGAUCUGAUUCUGCCAGGUCAGGCACCAUUGCCCACCCAAGGAGCAGAUCAACAAUGUCAACAAAGUGAGGCUGGAAACAUCUAGAAAAGUUUAAAGAAAUUAUAGUUAAAACAGCAAGAAGUCUGUGCAGUAAAAUCAGGGAGGUUCUCUCAUCUUCGAGAAGUUCCUGGCAUGCUUUGAGAACAGGCAAGGCAUAUCUUUCGACUGCCCCAACAUCUCCAACACUAAGAAAUUCUCGUAGAGCUUCCAAAGCCAGCUCCGCUGUCGCAUUUCCUAUAUUGAUAAGCAGUGGCAAUGCCCAACCCAUGAACCGGUCAACCAAGCCACUGAGUAUAACAUGAUUCUGCCUUCCAUUUGAUGCUAGAGGGACUGAACACAGUACAGAGCACAAAGCCCCAUAUGCUGUGGCUGCUGACUGCCGUACCAAAUAUGAUCUAAGCAACACAGUGAAAGCAAAAGAUAAAUCAACAGAAAUGAAGUAUAUUAUCCUGAUCAUUAACUGGUCAAUAUCCACUCAAAAUUUAAAGACCCUUUAUUACAAUGAAUACAAGUAAUUACAUCCUAUUAAAGUGCAAGGUAUGUGAUGCACUUGGCCCAUCAACAGAACCAACUGGAAUGUAGGUUGUAUAACAAAUUGCUAUUCUUGUGCCAUCCAAGAACAAAUGUUUGAUAGAUUGAGAUGGAAUAAACUUCAAUUUUUUUUUUUAAUGAAUUGCAUAAGCUAUUGAAACAUAACAAGACAAGUCACGUGAAUACACUCUGAUGCCAAAUCUGCAGCUAAUUUUUAAUGGAAAGUUUCAAAUCAUUAGUCACAUAUAUUUUCAACCACUGUUGACAUGAACAUGGAUUAACAAACUUAUUUCGGUGGCCCAGUGGAUCUUUUAUCUUUCCCCUCAAAUACCUAUCCUUUACAAGAAACUUGUAAUUGUGCAGAUUCUAGUUGCUGAAUUUAAUUUCAAGCAUAUCUCUCAUGAUUUUAAACCACUCCUUGAAGCAAAUCAGAAUUAGUUUGAUAAUAAAUGCAACUACAGUGGAGAUCAAUGACUACAUGCUAGACUUAACUAGCUUGGAAAUAAUCAGGGGAUGGACACUAAUUUCAGCAAAAUCAGACGCCAAAAGACACAACUGACUGGAGUUUUAGAGGAAGAGUUGGUCUUUACAAUUUUCCUUAACCAAAAAUUCUCUAUGCAGAUAAAGCUCCAAUUCCAGAGCUGUGCACCCAGUUUAAACUUCUUAACCAGACUAUCCUAGCAUAGAAUAAUGACAAAGCAAUACGAGAUGAACAUCACCACUACUACUGUCCAAAUAUUUUUUAACAACUAAACGAAAGAAAGAGCAGGAAAGAGAACUCUUGUCAGAGAAGGAAAAUUUUGCUUUACCAAACAAGCCAGUAUCUUUUGAAGCUCCUCAGGAAUUUCCUUCUCUUGGGUGUUUGCAUCAACUAGAGCAGGGUACACAAUAGACCAAGGAGAUAGUUUUGACAGCUUGACCAGUAAAGUUUCUAGCUGUCUCCUAACUACUUGUUCUGGAUGACAACUUAAUCGUGCAAAUAGUUGAGGUGUUAUCUCCUUCAAAAAAAAAUAAUUAUUAGAAAAUCAUCCACCAACAUUGGUAUGACAUCCUAAAAGCGUAACUCACCUGCCAUGGUAGCAAAGGAACAGUUGAAAGUGCAGGUUCAAGAGUAUCUUCCAACUCAACGCCAUAGUUGAGAAGAAUAUUUAAGACGUAUAAAGUUGCCCUCAUUGUGUAGCUCAUGGACUUAUGAUUUGAGUGAUGCAGGCCAGAUAGUUGACAAUCAGAGUACAUGGAAGAUGAAUACGAAAGGUAAUUGAUGAAAGCUUGAGCUGCUUGACCAAAGAGGGAUACCCUUCUUCUUCUCAAAGACCGCCAAAGAUCAGUUAUAUCAUCAAUCAAGGAUGUUACUGCUGGAUCAUCAAGGGCAAUCUUUGCACUGGCUAAGGACUUCUGCAAUUUAGAUUUUAGCAUAGCAGAAAGGGUUUCACCACUAUGAUCUUCAGCUCCAGGUGCUCCUGCUGUAGCUUCAAGAAUAUCUGUUAUUUGCUCAGACAAAGAUUUGACAUUCUCCUUCUGCCAACAUUCUGAGACAACAAAAUUUUCCAUAUUCUCAUUUAGAACUUCUAACGAUCUUUUCUGUAGGAGCUCUGAGACAAUGUCUUUCACUUUUAGCUGCUCUAUCUCGGUUAAACUUAAGCUUUGAUGAUGGAUUUCAGAAUGAAAAGCAGAUGAAACGGAAGAAGAAUGAAGGAGAGCUUCAUUAUCUGCAGAAAGAAAUGAUCUUGCCCGAGCAUAACACCAAGAGGCAUAUGAAAUCCAUGACUUCCCCAUAUUAAGGCAGAGUCGAGUAGAUAGCUCCCUUGCAGCACCCACAAAUUCCUCAGUAAUAGCAUCAAUAUUAGGUUUAGCACUCAGAGCAUCAUUUCUAAAGCUAGAAAACCCUCUGCCAGAGUCAAACGUGUCAGUAUUAAUAAAAUCUUCUCUAAACUUCAGAACGACAUCUUUCAACCUUGGAUCUGAAUAAUUUUGUUCCAACCAAUUUGACAGUUUUAAACAUGCCUUUGCCUUCAAGACAUUGUCAAAAGAAUCAGAAGAAACAAUUGCAGAAGAAAGCAUGCUAGGACGUACAAGUGACCACAUAUUGGAAAAUGCAUCAUCAAGCUUGCCUUCACUGUGCAUCAACAGGAUGUCCUCAUACUGCAAACUGGAGAUGAUAUAAUCACGAAAGUCGGUGUCAGGGCAAUUUGCUACAUUCUCCUUAAGGUAGUUGCUUAGACGAUUUGCCAACACCAAAUUUCUUUGCUUGCGAGAUAAGUUCAACAAGUUAUUACAUAGCUUGAGAGUCGCAGGUGAUGUUGGUUGAGUAUUUUGGUAAACUCGGAGUACUUUUAGCCAUAAACUGCAAUCUUGAUGAACUCGAUUAAUCGGGGACUGAACUGCUUGAAUAUAUGAUCCUAAUAAUGACUCUAAAUGAUUGUCUUGGCUGCCCCGCAUCUGGUACUUUUCCUCCAAUGCCAGUAUGCAGUAUAAAUGGUUGACAUGUGGUGCAGCAUCAGAGAGACCAUCGAGGGGAAGAACAGAUAGUGUUUCCUCCAGUAUUGACUUGGCUUUCUGCAAUUCGUGAGGUACCUUGUCCACUUUCCCCUCCUUCUGGAAAAGCAUUGCCUGCAAAAGCAUUUGCUCACUCCUUUGCAAGGCUAACUUGGGAUCAAGUGUGAGUUCAUUGCUACUUUUUGGUGUCAAAUCAAGGCAUGCCCAUGAUGCCUGAACAUCGCCCUCAUCAAAACGGGCUAAUGCUUGGACGGAGUUUAUUUCAUUUCCUGCAGUAGUUAGAGCACCAGAGUAGCUCUUUCCUGCAUGCUUUGAUCGUAGUGCUUGCAGCUCCAACAACCAGGAUUCCAAAGCUUUCCAAUCAGAAACUGCAGUAUAACUCUCAAUAAUACGAGCAAUAGCAAACUGUACUCCUUCAGAACCCAUAGAACUGAGUGAAUCAUCGGUCUGUAGCAGAUGUAUAAAAUGUGCUGCAGCCUUCUCAUGUUGGCCCUUUGCCUGAUAUACUAGUCCAGUUAUCCAUGAAAAUUGUUCUAGAAUCUCACUAUCACUUAACCUUUGAUUGUCCUCAGCAAACAAUGGAAAGAAUGCCAUGCUUGUCCACUUUUGUAGACCAAUUAAUGCCUCUGAUUCAUGAUUCUUACAGAGAGCUAAUGCCAUGUGCCGUACAACCCUCAAAAUUUCUCCAUCAAACCUACCCCUGAUACUCUGGACAACUUCACUCACCUGGACUCUUGAAUUGUCCGUGAAAGAUGAAGCAACAAAAUUCUUAAGCUCUCGUAAACGCAGUGUGCAGUAUUGGAUUGUAGCAUCAUGACACUGGAGUGCCAAUCCAGCAUUCAUCAUUGGUUCACAUAUGCGAGAAAACCACUCCUCACAGACUUUCUUAUUUGCACGGAAGAACAAAGAGCUCUGCCUAGAUGGACAGGGCAAAACUGUUGAUCCUUCAUAUGCAUUGUACACAUUUUUCUUCAGAGCCUCAACAAAAUCUAGCAACAGCCUCAUUGGCAACAAAUGAGCAUAAGAAGUGCUGGUGAUGGUCAAAUUUCCAUCACUUUGGUGAGUAUCAAGCUGUAGCAGAUGAGAAAUGUCCAGAAGCAUUCGUUCCAAUGCAGCAAAAGUUUGAGUGGGGCCACCAAGAUUGGUCCGGAGUCUCGUAGAAAUACAGCACCUUGCCGCUUCAUUUAUAGCCCACCAGGCACCUGCAAGAAUAUUGGUAGAGCAGACUCUUUCAAGAAUAUCCCUCUCCACUUUGACGUCCCUCCACAAUCCAUUUACAUCAGCGUUUACCAAUUCCUCUGACUGUAUUAAAGGAUGGUCUUUCGAGUUCCGGCAGGAACAGAUUAACCGUUGAAUCCAAGAAGACAAAGGCACUUUCCAUCUCUGAGAAAUGUAACUCAAUAUGGAAACAAGUUGCUGUGAGCGAAGUUGAUGAGGUAGUUGCUUUAUGGCAAAGACUUGCUUCCAGUACAAAUUAGGCCUGUUUUUAACUCCACAAAUAACACUGCUAGAAGAAGUAAUCAUUCUACAAUCAUACAGACCAAAAACAUAUAUAGUAAUAGGCAGAACAUUGCAAAGCAACCUACCAAAUGCAUUUUUUAUAUCUUUUUCUGGGUCCCCAAGUUUCUCAAGGACAGUCUCAGCAAUGUACAGGAAGUGAGAGGGAUGGACAAGUU